UACGUAGGGGGCGAGCGUUGUCCGGAAUCAUUGGGCGUAAAGCGCGUGUAGGCGGCCCGGUAAGUCCGCUGUGAAAGUCCAGGGCUCAACCCUGGGAUGCCGGUGGAUACUGUCGGGCUCGAGUCCGGAAGAGGCGAGUGGAAUUCCAGGUGUAGCGGUGAAAUGCGUAGAUAUCUGGAGGAACACCAAUGGCGAAGGCAGCUCGCUGGGACGUGACUGACGCUGAGACGCGAAAGCGUGGGGAGCAAACAGG
rnacentral:rRNA from 1 species